GAUGAACGCUGGCGGCGUGCCUAAUACAUGCAAGUCGUACGGAAAGGCCCUUCGGGGUACUCGAGUGGCGGACGGCUGAGUAACGCGUGGGAACGUGCCCCAAAGUGAGGGAUAACGCACCGAAAGGUGUGCUAAUACCGCAUAUGGUCUUCGGGUUAAAGCUUCGGCGCUUUGGGAGCGGCCCGCGUACGAUUAGAUAGUUGGUGAGGUAAUGGCUCACCAAGUCGACGAUCGUUAGCUGGUCUGAGAGGAUGAUCAGCCAGACUGGGACUGAGACACGGCCCAGACUCCUACGGGAGGCAGCAGUAAGGAAUCUUCCACAAUGGGGGCAACCCUGAUGGAGCAACGCCGCGUGCAGGAUGAAGGUUUUCGGAUCGUAAACUGCUUUUAUAAGUGAAGAAUAUGACGGUAACUUAUGAAUAAGGAUCGGCUAACUACGUGCCAGCCGCCGCUGUAAUAC
rnacentral:rRNA from 1 species